GUCUCUUGCCACUGCCAUGUAAGAAGUGCCUUUUUGCCCUCUGCCAUGAUGGUGAGACCUCCCUAGCUAUGUUGGACUGUAAGUAAAAUUAAACCUCCUUUUCUUCUCAGUCUUGGGUAUGUCUUUAUCAGUAGCAGGAAAACGGACUAAUAUACCACCCUUAGUUGGGAGGGAGCCAGAGGGGUCAGAAACAUCCUUUAUGGUGGAGGGGGCACUUUAUAUUGGUUGUCUAAGACAGUUUGGGCUGCUAGAACAUGAACACCGUAGACUGGGUGACUUAAAUAACAGAAGUGUAUUCCUCACAGUAUGAAGACUGGGAAGUCUAAGAUCAAAGUGCUGGCUGAUUUGGUUCUUGGUGAGGGCUCACUUCCUGGUUUGCGGAGGGAUGCCUUCUCACAGUAUCCUCGCAUGACUGAGGGAGAGCUAGCUUACUCCCUGGCUGCUGCUUAAAAGACACUCAUCCCAUUCAUGAGGGCUCUACCCUCAUGAUCUAAUUAUCCCCCAAAGGUCCCACCUCUAAACACUAUCUCAUUGGGGAUUACAGCUUCAAAAUAUAAAUUUUGGUGAGACACAUACAUUUGGUCCAUAGCACUGACAUCGUCUCGUUUUCGUACUCCGAUAGCAGGAAAAAGAGGGUCAAUUAUCCCCACUUUACAGAUGAGGAAGAUGAGUUCUGAGACAGGGUAGAGAGGUAGAAUAGAGGGGGAAAGAAGCUAGAUGAAGGGUGUCAUGUCCCCUAAUUUGUCCUGAGGUAGGGAGGGGGAGAGCUGGUAGCUGUCACAUGAGUGGUCACUACAUGGACACGUUGUGGGGCUCACUUCCAGGGCAGGACUCAGAAGCACUAGUGGAGGGUCCAGUCCAGAGAAGGGACUCCACAAGUGAUGCCACUGUAAUUAUCGUCUGAUCAUCUAUUCAUGGCCCAUUUUCUGAGGACAUCCUCUGUGGCGAGCACUGCUCAUAUGUUCUUUAUCAUCCUCAUGGACACGACACCCCACUUGGCCUACGGUGGCUGGAGACAUGGGGAGGAGUCAUAUCACAGCUUUUAGACCCACUCUGGCAUCAAGGUUAAAUGCAACUUUAGGGCCAGCAAGUACAAGCCUUAUUCUGCCACUUACUAGCUGCAGGGCUUGGUGUGGCACUUGGCCUCCCAAGGGAAGGUGCUCUUCUCCCCAUUUUACAAUUGAGAGGACAAGAUAUGAGAGGUGAAAAUACAGACUUCCCUUAAUAGAAUUCAUUCUCCCGAUCACCAUGCACACUAGUGUUUCCCAGAGGUGGUCCCGCAGGCUUCAGAAUCUUGUCGGGUGUUUGGAGAGUGAUUCCUGACCCCUCCUCUUACUCAGUAAAUCUUGGCAGUUAGGCCCCAAAAUACGAAUUCUUCACAAGCUCUGAAGGUGAUUCCUAUGUGUGUUGGGGCUUGAGAAUUGGCUCUCCUGCCUCCUCAUUUCCAGUCUUUAAGCAGGGAUCUGCAUAGCAGCAGGGAGCAGAAGUAGCCAGCACUCUGGAAAUACAGUUGGCAAAGGCUCUGUCCCUUAAAACUAACAGGGAGAGAGUUACCUCCAUGACUAGCAUGACAUCUGUAAACAAAGGAAGUGACAGGGCCACCAAGAAGUGCUGUGGGCCAGUGAGAGCAACAGAAGACCAGGUCCUAGCCUUCUCUGCUGAGAACUUUACCCAUUGCCUAGUGAGAAGGAACUGGAGAUGCCAUCAGAGUUGCAUCGUAGUUAUGCUGGUAGAUUUCAAUAUUUACAAUUUAUAUUUGUUAUGAAUGUGCUAACUUCACCAUUCCUUAGAGUAUGUUUAAUUAUCCUCAGUCUUUGUUCUGCUUUUAAAAUCCCCAUUGAAAAGACAAAGUAACAUGUGCUUAAGAGGUCUUUAAGAAAUACUUUGGUCAAGAACAGGAAGGGGGUAGUUUAAUUCCUCCUAAUCAGACCCGCCCACCUCCCCCAUGGGUGCUCCCACCCUCUUCCCUCUUCCUUGCCCCUCAGUUGCAACACUGAACUGAGUUUACUUUUAAAUUUAAGUAAAAGUCAGUAUGCUUUCUAAAUAAAUGCAGUUUCACAACAAAACCUUUAGCCCAUGCUCAAGCAACUAUAUGGCUGCCCCUAAUUCCUCCUCUAUUGACAUUCAGGAGCUGCCAGGGUUUCUGUAAAAGUACCUGAACGCAGUGGAUCAACCAACAGUGGCUCUGGGGUUUAGAGCUUUGAGCAGCAGCUCAGAAUGGUAUCUGUCUGCCUUUCUGAAUCACAGCCAACUUCUGGCCUCUCUGCACAGAUUUGGUGCAGGAAACCAGCCAUACCCACGCUCACACCCACAGCUUGCCCUGUGUCUCCUUCAUCUUCGUAAUUCUGCUCCCACCCUCUUCCCUCUUCCUUGCCCCUCAGUUGCAACACUGAACUGAGUUUACGGAUGAUGCUCAACAAGUUAUUGUUGAUUAACUGAUUGAUUGAUUCUGUUACUAUGGAAGCCAUCAGAUUCUAGUGCAACAGUGGGAUUCCUUCCUGACUUUAUGCUUGACAAAGUGCUGACUCUGGGCUUGCUUCUCCCAGCUUGCCACCUCCAUCUGGGUCAGGAGGAGCAACUGGAAGCAGAAGCUCCAAGAGAAAGGUGGGAAUGUUGAUAAACCCAGGUGAAAAAAAGCAACAAGGAGGGUGAGUGGCCUGAAAUGUGGAAAAUUCCAUCAGAAGCAGCCUAGACAGUGAUUAAACUGUUUGAACAUGACAUCAUAGUCGAAACUGGUGGUCCUUUGUGAAUGAGCUGCCCAGCGUUCUGCCUCAAUAAACCUCCCUGGACACAGAGGUCCACCACAUCUUGGAAGGAAAUUUCAAAGCUCAUUUGAAGUCAGCUCCUCACAUAGCCCUGCUUGUCUAACUUUCUUCUGAAUGUGAUUUCAGAAGUAAAACCAGGCCAGGGGCCAGGACCCUGAGGACAGUGCUAGGACUGUCUUUUUCUAUAUCAGACAUGUGGGCUCCUGCUGUGCCUUCCUGGAAACCGAGGCCAAGGAUGGAGCAGACCAAGAGGAUGCCAGGAAAAAUCACAAAGAAGCCCAGAGAGCACAGCUGGAAGCCAAGAACCCUCUUUUUGGUUUGUGUGGGUGGAAGAUGAGGGACAAUAUAUAGUGAACAACAGGAUUCUUCAUUUGAAAGACAGUGGAGCACAUCAGACCUGUGUAUUUGGGUGAAGUAUGAUAAGCUGAACAUCAAAGACUAUGGAAAAGAACAUGACUUAGUUUAUUCCAUUACCAGUGAUCUGCUUGUUUGUUCAUUUGCUUACCCACCCAUUCAUUUAUUCAUUCAUUCCUCCAUCCAUUCUCUUUCACUUAUUCCACAAUCAUGAUUGUAUGCCUACCAUAUCGCUAGAGAGAAGGUAGAAAAAGAUCCAAGGAUGUGAAUACAAUCUUCCUGCUUCAUGGUGAGAGCUAAAGGAAUCUGUAAAGAGUCUGUCUUUUUCAUUUUUCUCUCUCCUACAUAGACCCUGGCAAAUGUUUUAUUUCUUAUAAUUUGCCUGAGAUUUACUCAUCCACUACCAGAGCUCUGAAAACACUCUUCAGAACACUAUUUUAAAAUAAUGAUAAUGACAAUAAUAGAUAACAUAUAUUGAGUGUUUUUUGUACAUGAAGCAAUGUAAUAACCAUUUAAAAUGAUUGUAACUAUACUUUAUAAGAGUAUGACGAGUCAGGCACUGUUAAUAUGCUCAUUUUUCACACAGCUAAUAUGAGAGAGAGCUGGGAUUUGGAUGCAGGCAGUCUAGCUCCAGAGCCUCCAUUCAUAGCCAUUACAUGAUCUGUCUAAUGAAUGAAAUGUUUGGCCUUAGAGAAAAUUUGAAAUGUGUAGUUUUCUUUGCUGACUUGAAUGAUAUAAGUUUAAAAAUUCGAUAGUGGUUGCUAGUUGAAAAUUCCUGCUCUUUGGGAAACUGUUGAAAGUCUGCUUAGUACUCACCUCCAUCAUUAAUGGCCAUUUGCAAAGCCAGGCCAAGUUUAGUCUUCUACCAGCAUUGAAGAAACACAUUUUACCCAGAAGAAAUGAGGGUGAAAUCCUCUGAUAACUGGAAGAUUCUGGCUGUUCUGGAAAGAAAAGUAAUUUUUUUCAAUCUCUGGAAAUUGUUUUUUUGUUUGUUUGUUUUAAGUAGGGGUGGCUCAGCAGAUGCUAACAGGGAAUCUGGGAUCACCUAAUCUGGAGAAGAUUCUGAGAGAUUAAGUUUGGGAAGUUCAGACUGAGAAAAUGAGAAGAAGAUUGGUAGAAAGGGCGGUUUCUUGCUGUGUCCGAGAACAGGAACUGAGAAAUGGUAUUAAGCUGAGGGUGAGAGCGGAACAAAGAAGAAGACUGUCAAAGUUUCAUACAGGUUUGAAACAAAGUAUAUCACAAGGAAUGGGAACAUGUAGAGCUGUUUUAGAAAUGUUUCUGUGUUUGUGUGAGUGUGUGUACUAGAUAUAUAUUUAAAAUGACUUUUCUCUGAAUUACAUCAUACUUUGAAAAUCAGCAUAGGAAGUGAAGAAGGAACAAAUAUUCACUGAGACCACUCACUAAGGGCCAGGAGCUCCCUGAAUACCACAUAUACCACUGCUCUCUCUUGUGAUCAUGAAGGUUUGUGAGGCAGUUAUCACGAUGUAUGGUAUAUUUUCAAAGAAAGCAAAUAAAGCCCAAUGUGACUAAGAAAGAUGCUAAAAUCAUACAGCUGAUUAGCUGUGGGUCCAGGAUUCAAAUCAGUGCACCUAGCACAUGGUCUUCAAUAAAUAUUUAUUGAGCAAUGAAUACAUGAAUGACUAAAUAAGAUGAAGCAAGCAAGCAAACAAGCAGGUAGGCUUGUCUAACCCAAAUGUUUAUGUUCUAUCCUCUGUACUGGUGGUUUUUAAAUUGUGUGCCACAAAGGCAUUGGGUGACAUGAGGAGGGUUAGUAUGAGUGGCUGCCUGGCAGCGUGGGGUCCCAGGCUGUCUAUCCCUGCUCCAACCAGGGCAUCUCUGCUUCUGUUUGUGUUGAACAUCAGGCUUUUGCCUGAGAUUUCAUUUGAAGAAGAGGGCUUUCUUCUAGAAAGUGUUUAUUACUCCUGCCCCAUACCAUGCUCCCUCCUAAGUAUGCAUUAUGAACUAGUUAACUUUAAUAGAGACAUAUAUUAAUAUAAAGUUGGAAUUUAUACCAGUGUCUGAAUCCCAGCCAAAUGUUUAUAAUAUCCUGCAUGCUGCUGAGGCCAUUAACAAUAGAUGGACCAUCUAGGGCAUUAUGGCUAGCAGCCAGGACUAGAACUUCAAGCUGUCUAGGUUCAACUGUGGCUCUGCCAUAACCUGGUGAAAUCUUAGGUAAAUGAUUUGACCUCUCCAUGCUUUAGCUUCCUCAUCUGUGAAAUGUGAUAGCUACCUUAUACAGCAGGGAAACUUUGUGCUCCAGUAAUAUGAAUGGGCUGACUGUAACCAAGUGCACUUAGUUUCCUUGAUCUCACGUUUUUGUUUAUGCUGGCUCCCAACUUAAUGUGGUCUUCUCACUUUUCAUCUGACUGUGAAAACUCCAACCAAAGGUACUUAUAUUCCUUCCACUCAACAAAUACGAUGGCCUUGGUGUCAGUAAGGUGACAUGUGAAGAGAGAUAUCAGUCUGACUUGCCAUACAUUACAAGAAUUUGCAGGCUUACCCUGAUAGUCCUAUUUCACGGGAGUGGGUGAUGGGGGUACUAUUGUGUCACUGUCCAGGGUCCUGAAUAAUUAAAGCGCUCAUAGUGGCUUUUACAA